GCUUCUUAAGUCUUUUGCAGUUUUUGAUAUUUAAGAAAAUGAGCCGAGCCUCUAAGGUUCCAAUGGAUUCAUGAACCUCAAUUAGAUUGACACAUUCUUUGAGAACAAGCUUCUCCAGCAUUGGGAGUCCUGAAAAAUCAGGAGUUCUAAAAAGAGAAUGAGAGUGGCUGAGGUUGAGAAUUUUUACCAGUGGAAGCACUCUUCUUCCUUCCCACAGUCUUUCCAAACAGCUGUUCCGCAUGUCAAGAACAGAUAAGCUCUCCAAUGGAAAGUCAUUUGGCACACACUUCAAAGGAAAACCUCUCCAAUAUAGCCACCUCAGAUUCUUG
rnacentral:misc_RNA from 1 species